ensembl:lncRNA novel transcript
AUCUACGAAGGAUGCAGGGGCGAGGCCGGGUCUCUGCAGGAUGUGCGGUCGCGGGUCGGAGUCUAUAAAGGUUUUUCAGUGUCCACACUCAGGGUUAUCUCCCAGCAGGAGCAGGGGAAAAUGCCAUGGGUCAUUGCUCUGCCAGGGCCUCCCUGCACAGAUUCCUAGGUCAAAACAAAGCAUAAACAAUCAACGCCAACAGAAAAAUCUUCCGAAGAACAAUUACAAGAAGUAACUCAGGAAAUUUUCCCAAGAGGCAAUCCAGAAGAGUUUGAGUUUCGAUCAGCUUGUAGGACUGAGACAGGAGCAGAACAUUGCUGGAAGAAAUUCACAAUACAGACCAGGAUGAAGUUAUUUCCCCAAAAGAGAGGUUCGAGGCAAGUGGUCAGCUCCCCGUUGAAAAUCAUUGUAGCAGACAAAUACCGGGAAUGUAAUAAAUUGGAGAAAAGUUUGUCUCUGGGCACAAAGCCUGUUGUACCUCUGAGGGACAGGCCAGGAAAGAGAGCCAGUGGAUGGAGGAUGGGUGGCUGAGGCUUUCCAUGUGAGUCAUAUCUGAGUGGACAUCGGGCAGUUACCAGUGGGACAA